UCCGUAACCAACAAGGAGUUUUUUAUGGCAACACUGUCUACUUUGCUCCGCCUAUCGGUCAUUGAAAAGAGGUUAUAUAACGACUUUACCGUAAUAGUAAAGACCAUUUUGAUCCCGAUUGCCGUGCUUGUGAGUAUGCUCGUAGAAUUUUAAGAUAUCUUCAGAUUGCCUUAUUUUCUUAAAUGUACAGUUGUGUGUUAUUUCUUUUGAUUUUAAUUGUUUGUGAAUUCGAAAUCAACGUGCUAUAGAAAUUAUGAAUAACGUGUGUUUAUUUAUUUUUGUGUUACUUGCAGUUAUUUAAAUUCUCGUCUUCUCAGAAACGUAGAAUGUAUUGUAUUGUUUUCUCUACGUAUAGUAGAAAAACAAGCUAUGGACCUCUUUUGUUUAAAAUGUUAAUUAUAGAAGUUGCAAAUUUGUGAGUAAAUUGCAAUAACUAUGAAUAAAUAUGGAAAUCAGAAACAAUUGUAGAAAUCUUAUUUGAUUAUUUUGAUAAGCAUGAUGCUUGUAGAUAUUCAGUUAGUAUUUGGAAAGCAUGUGGUACUGACUUGAAUUUUUGACCAUGAUGCUGGAUCUUAUGGAGAUUGGAUUUUAAUGGUAAGUUUGUUAAGAACUAAGAUUUUUAGAGUGAUUUAAUUUCUUUUUUGUAGGGUUUAGGUUGAAGUUGAACAUGGAGUUGCAUGUAUGGCCUGCCAACUCAUUUGUUCUGGCACGGUGGUUAAUUGCUUCACUGUCGAGAUCCUUGUCCAUUUGUUCUUUGGACAUCUUCCUCAGUUAGGUAAGAACUAGUGAUCUACUUAUUGUGACAACUUACUUUUCAGUCUUAAACCAUUGCUAACUUCAUUGCAUGAGCAAUCUUGUUUGCAUGGUUUCAAAUUUGGUGCUGCAUCUUCUGUUGGUUAUGGUAAUCAGGUUAUCAUUUAAUGGAUCAUGGUUUUCUGUCAUUUGUUGGAUAGUAACAGAAUUGUUCUUAAAGCUGUAAAUUUUUUAAAUAACAUAAAACCAGGAAUUUUAUUUACACAUGUUUUCUCCUAGACUAACUUUAUGUGUUGUGGAAUGAUUUGUGAAUUAAAUUUUGGUUUGUUCAAUUUAGUUAUUCGAAGUUCUAGUGAUGUCGCUGUUGGUCUUCGUGUACUGGUGGGUUUGAAAGACUGAGGUGUGGAUGUGGUUUUGUAGUCAACGAGAAGCAUAUUUGGGUUCAAGAGAUGCCCAAUUCUUCAUCCGGAUUAAUCAAACGCCAAAAAGUAGACCUCAUCGUUCGGGGGUUUUUUUAUUAGUUGGUUCCGGUAUUAGUACGGUAUUACUAAUGAUCAGAAUGAUCAGAUGUGAUUUUGGUGGAUAGGGGAAGUAUGCUGAUGGAGCUUGGUGCCAAAGAAGAUAGUUAGAUGAGUCGGCAUCCGAAAUUUUCCAAUUAAAUUUUAUUGUGAUAUUUUAUUUUUAUUAAAAAAAAAGCUUAGUAAUGUAAUUUGUUUGAAUUUGUUGUAAUUUGUUAACUGUGGCUCUGUUUCAUUGACUUUUGUUAAAAUUGUGUUGGUGUGAAUUGUUGAAUAAUAUGUGGACAUAAAGUUCCAUUAGGUGACGAUAAGCAUUGGUAUACAUCCCGAUGAAAAUGAAGAUGAUCUAUGUAAACUCGUCAAUGGAAACGUUAUUUUCCUGCCAUAUUCUAUUGACUAAUUGUUGCUUUUUUUUUUAAUGCAUAUUGUUUUAAAUGCUGUCAUAAAAAUGCUAUUGUAUCAAUAAAUAAAAGUAAUUAAAAUUUCA